rnacentral:rRNA from 1 species
GACGUAGGGCGCGAGCGUUGUCCGGAUUUAUUGGGCGUAAAGAGCUCGUAGGCGGCUUGUCGCGUCGUCCGUGAAAACUUGGAGCUCAACCCCAAGCUUGCGGUCGAUACGGGCAGGCUAGAGUUCGGUAGGGGAGACUGGAAUUCCUGGUGUAGCGGUGAAAUGCGCAGAUAUCAGGAGGAACACCGGUGGCGAAGGCGGCAUCCUGGACCGGCAUUGACGCUGAGGAGCGAAAGCCAGGGGAGCAAACAGG